AAGGGUAUAGCUCAGUGGUAGAGCGUGUGCUUAGCAUGCAUGAGGUCCUGGGUUCAAUCCCUGUUACCUCC
rnacentral:tRNA from 1 species